UCCCGAGUAGCUGGGAGUACAGGCGUCUGCCACCUCGCCCGGCUAAUUUUUUGUAUUUUUAGUAGAGAUGGGGUUUCAUCGCGUUAGCCAGGAUGGUCUCCGUCUCCUGACGUCGUGAUUCGCCCGCCUCGGCCUCGCGAAGUGCUGGUAUUACAGACGUGAGCCACUGCGCCCUGCCCACAUGCUUUUAAAUGACCAGAAUCACUAUCAGACAGCACCAAGCCAUGAGGUCCAUGGUUCCUGACUUCUGACAGAGAUGGCAACUGGAAUCCAGGUUGUCUUCUGCCUUCUGCUUUGAUUUCUAUAUGAGGGUGCAUCAAAAUCCAUUCCGAUGGGCUUCCUUUAUAAAGACCCUUCCUUCCAGCAGGACAACAUCCAAGAAAAAGCCAGUGACUGUUCCUGAGGGCGCCUGUUAAGAGCUGGCUUUUUGGCUGUGGUGACCAGUCAGUCACGACCACUCUUCCGAGAGCAACACCAAGUGGAAACCCCGCCAAGUGGGCUUUUCAGGAACCCUCUCACCACCCAAGGCCUUUGGAUCUUAUAUCUAACAAAUUACAUGUUACAUUAUUUUUUAAAAAACAGGUUAGUGACAACUAAGAUAGUCUCUCCAGAAUUAGAGUCUGAUGUCAGAUUCAGAAAAUCCCCCGUUCCUUGGGAAUUCCCAUGUCACUCAUUCUGCAUUAAUGAUAUUUAUUCUCUCUCAUUGUUUUAUUCUUAAAAAAUAGCUCCCCUGGUUGCAAUGUGAUGUUAAGUAUAUUACAUGUCAGUUCAUAUAUUACAGCUCGCACCACUCCUGGGUAUAUGUUUCCAAAUAGCUCUCACUCCACAGUUCCAGUUCCACAUUAAAUAUGGGCUGCCAUGAGUGGAGCCCGAAAGGGUUGUCUGUUCCAUUCCCGCUUCUUGUUUUCCCUGGAAGUAUUUUCCCCUCCUAUUUUAUACUCCUCAGGGAAGAUGUGCCCUCCAGUAAGAAAAGUCUACCUGGGGAAGGUAGAAUGUGUUCUUGCUCUAGAGUUUCUUGAGGGGAGGUGAGAAGGGGCAGCUGUUUGACAGAGUGCAUGCAGCCUUCCAGGGGCUGGCACUGGUUUGGCACAUGAGUGGACACCCUGACUAGGGGAUGUGGGAUGCCAGAAACCAUCAAGAUCCUUGGAAAAAAGCCAAAAUAUCCUUCCUUCUGCAACAUGAACAUCAAAAUGAGUUUUUGUCUUCUGUGGCUAUCAUGCUCUUGACCAUCUGUGUUGUAGGGUCAUUAACAGACAGUUUCAG
rnacentral:lncRNA from 1 species